GAUAACCCCCAAUUCUGGCCCCCCUAUUUUCUACGCUUUAUUUUUGACCCCUUUUAAUCUGAAACGGCGCCGUUUCGUUUCAAUCCACCAUUCACCGUGCAGCUUUCUUUUCUUUUUCCUUUUCUUUCACAAAAUGCACGAUCGACCUACUUCUUUUCCUUUUUUUUUUUUUUUUUUUUUUUCCCCUUUUCCCUUCUCUCCCUUCUGCCGCCGCAAAUGCUGACUGCCCCACCGCUCUUCUUCUCCACUCAGGGGUCUUCCUUUUUCUUCCUUGCCACACAGCCAUGGCAGCGGGAAUAGUUGCCGCCCCCCCCACCUCCACCGCCUCUGCCGCCAGCGUCUCUUCCCACCGCACCUUUCCUCUUCUUCCUACAAUUUUUCGCUACGCGAUUCAUCCAAUUGUUCCGAUUUGGGGAGAUGGUAUUCAAGCUCAGGAUCGGAGAGUAAAGAAGGCGGCACAACCAUGCCGGCGGCGGGGUACCACGUCGGCGUCGGACCAUCGUACAUGUGGGGAGCUGUGUUUUGGGAAAAGAAUAAACCACUCACUUUUGAAGAUUUUCAGAUGCCCCGCCCUAAGGCCAACGAAGUUCUGAUCAAAACCAAGGGUAAUUAAUUUGGGUUGUUUUUUUUUUCCUCAAUUUAGUUGUUGUACAUUAUGCUGCAAAGCUUGUUCUUUUUUUUUUUUUUUUUUUCCUUUUUUAUUUUGGGAAUAUACUAAUUGGAGAUGAGAGAGAGGGAAGUAAUUGGAGAAGAGAAGUCAUUUUUGAUUUUUCAUUCAAUAUUUUUGAUUUUUGAUACGUUUUGUUGUAAUUGUAAAGUACAAAAAAAAAGCCACAAUACCUUUUUAGGUUUUAAUUAAUCUGUAGCAAACCAAUUAUGGAUCAUGUUAUUGGAGGCAAGUUGAAGCUGGGGAGGAAGAUUGGUAGCGAAUCUUUUGGAGAGCUUUAUUUGGGUAAUCUCAUCGGCAAUAUUUUAUCUCAUUUUUUCUUUAUAGGCAAAAUCUAUAUAAAUAUUUAUAUAUGUGCUAUUUUAAAUUUCGUUGAGGAGUAAAUAUACAAACUGGAGAAGAAGUUGCUGUGAAGCUGGUGAGUAGACUUUUCCGUCUUCGAAUUGGAUAAAUGGUUUAGGUGUUCAAUUCUUGAAUGAGACUUAUGUCCGGAAUUUGCGAAUCCGAUCAUCAACCCCGCCGUCGAAGAAUCCAUCGUGGAAGCUGCUCGCAAAGCAUUCUUCAGAAAUGGUGGCAAAGAUUGAUCAUCCGCAACUGGGACCCACCGAGCCAAGUAUGUACGAGCCAUCGCUGCUAAGGUUUUCCUUCCUCACUCUAAUUAAAUUUUGUUGCAAAAUAUUUCAGUUUCUUUGUGGACUAUUUUCUCGUAUGGUUUGGGGGUGCGAUAGAAACUAUGUUGGUAAUUUUUUGUAAAAGUAUAAAAUCUUGAGUCUUCCUUCGUGAAUUCGAGAACUGAAUUGUGUAAAGGUUUAUUUCAAUUUUAUUGGUACUGUUUCGACUUUAUUUUGGA